UGUAUAUGCACUGACGCCUGCCCGGUGCCGGAAGGUUAAGAGGAUCCGUCAGCCUUCGGGUGAAGCGGUGAAUUCAAGCCCCGGUAAACGGCGGUGGUAACAAUAACCAUCCUAAGGUAGCGAAAUUCCUUGUCGGGUAAGUUCCGACCUGCACGAAUGGCGUAACGACUUCCCCACUGUCUCGACCAGGAGCUCGGCGAAAUUGCAGUACGAGUAAAGAUGCUCGUUAAGCGCAGAAGGACGAAAAGACCCCGGGACCUUUUACUAUACCUUGGUAUUGGCAUUCGGUGUGGAUUGUGUAGCAUAGGCGGGAGGCCGAGAGGCGCGGUCGCCAGAUCGCGCGGAGCCGUAAGGUGAAAUACCGCUCUGUUCGCAUUGGAUGUCUAACCUCGAACAGUCAUCCUGUUCAGGGACAGUGCCUGGCGGGUAGUUUAACUGGGGCGGUUGCCUCCCAAAGAGUAACGGAGGCGCCCAAAGGUCCGCUCAGCCCGGUUGGCAAUCGGGUGGCGAGUGCAAGUGCACAAGCGGGCUUGACUGCGAGGACG
rnacentral:rRNA from 1 species